UAAAGCAGCUGAAGCUGGUCAGACUGAGGAACUUUGCAGCGAUGACCUGGUACUGAGCUGAUGGAUCUCCGGCAACCACAACCAAUCCUGCCUUUUGCUGUCUAUAUCUCCAACUAGUCGGCCAUUUCCCACCUGAUUCCCAAUUGACUUCAGUUUUCGGAAGGCUUUUUGAUGUCAAGAGCAGGUAUUGUCCUGGUCACUUGUAAUGCUGCCAAUUCAAGAUUAACUACAUGGAUGGUCUCUAUCGGUUGCUUAAUCACCAAUGUCAGUUUGCAAUCCUGAAUCCAAUAUUGUCACUUCAUCUUUCAGUUCUGUUGAUAAGCAAAGUUUGAGAUCAACAGCUUUCAGUUUACUAUCUGGAAGUCAAUCAGUGCAGAUUUUGAUGAAGUGCUGAACGUCAACUUGCCAAAUACAAUUGGCUAAACAGUAUGAGGCCAAUCAGUCUCUUGAAACACUUUUGCUGUGCAAUCAACAUUCCAACAUUAUUUGACAAUGAAAAAUUACAUACGUGCUUCAGAAGAUUAGAUUUGAAACAGAGAUUUGUGAAUAUGAAUGGAGCUAUAUAUGUCUCCAUCUCGGGCACCAACCUCAAGUCCACCUGGACUAUCUCCAACACCUCCCUCACCUUCCUGGACCCCUCUAUCUCCAUCUCGGGCAACCACCUCGAAACUGAUAUCCAUUUC